CCGUGCCAUCUACGAGGCUGGCCCGACCCUGGCACCUCAUCAGUACAGGCUGGGAGACUGGGUCUACAUCAAGAGGCACCACUGAGAGAACCUCGAGCCCCGCUGCAAAGGACCCUACAUCGUGGUGCUGACAACCCCCACAGCUCUCAAAGUAGACGGCAUCAUGACCUGGGCCCAUCACACCCACGUUCAGCCAGCGGACCCCUCCUCAAUCCGGAAGGACUUUGUCACACGAUGAGCCGUCAAUCGGGACCAACACAACCCGCUCAAGCUCACCCACCUAAUAUUGGUAACUUUGUUAACUCUGCAUGUCAUUGCUGAUGCUGCUGGAGUCCCCAUGUCCCCAAAACAUCACCUGGCAGAUCACAGACAGCAGCUUGGGGACAAUACUUAAUCAGACCUCCCAGAGCCACCCCAGGGACACUUGGUUCCCAGAACUUUGCGUAAACCUCCAAACUCUGUUCCCCUUGUCACCAUAAAUGCAGCUGGUCCCACGACUGGGUCCGUAAGCUACAUGGAAUGAAAGGGCAGGCCUACGCCAGCUGACUCCAUCUUGUUCUGUGUCCUUCACCUUGACCACACCUCCUCCCCUUGAUCCAUCUUAUUCUGUGUC